GACGAACGCUGGCGGCGUGCUUAACACAUGCAAGUCGAACGGUAAGGCCCCUUCGGGGGUCCACGAGUGGCGAACGGGCGAGUAACACGUGAGCAACCUGCCCUUGGCUCUGGAAUAACAGUUGGAAACAGCUGCCAAUACUGGAUAUUCAUCGUCUCCUUCCGGGGGGGGGGUGGGAAGCUCCGGCGGUCAGGGCUGGGCUCGCGGCUUAUCGGCUUGUUGGUUAGGUGAGGGCUCACCAAGGCUUCGACGGGUAGCCGGCCUGGGAGGGGGACCGGCCACACGGGGACUGAGAUACGGCCCAGACUCCUACGGGAGGCAGCAGUGGGGAAUAUUGCACAGUGGGCGCAAGCCUGAUGCAGCAACGCCGCGUGCGGGAUGACGGCCUUCGGGUUGUAAACCGCUUUCAGUAGGGACGAAGGGUGACUGACGGUACCUACAGAAGAAGGACCGGCUAACUACGUG
rnacentral:rRNA from 1 species